AAGGUUUGACAUGGAGGGCAAAGUUGAAGAAAUUCAACGGAGGUUAUCCCGACACAGGUGGUGCAUGGUCGUCGUCAGUUCGUGCUGUGAAGCAUAUGCUUAAGUGCUAUAACGAACGCAACCCUCGUAUUUAGUUACUAUCAUUCAGUUGAGAACUCUAAAUAGACUGCUAAGGUAACUUAGAGGAAGGAGAGGAUGACGUCUGAUUCAUCAUGCCCCUUAUAUCUUGGGCUACA
rnacentral:rRNA from 1 species